rnacentral:lncRNA from 1 species
GAGCUAUCCUCAACUCUUUUUAGGAUGGAUUGCCACCAAACUGCUCCAACUAGUCAGGCACCAUAAUUACCAUCAAAUGGAAAAUAAAACCUCAAACCCCCGCUACUCCAAGCGGCUGCCGUAUAAAGCUUGGGAAGCCAUUUCAUGAGGAAAAUCACUGAUCUGGCAAAAAAAAAUUCCACAUGUGAAGAUGUGCCUUUUCCAUAUCAUCAUCCCUCUGCGUGGUUUUGGGGGUGUCGCAGCAGCCUCCCCUGGGAAGAUGGGGCUGCCGAGACCUCACACCCAUCCAAGAACCUCUGAAGUGAUCAAGGUCCUCGCAGAAUGUGGUUAGUUUUUAGCCUGGUUGGAAGUUCUCCGCCUCUGCUCCUCUCUGCCCAACCCUCCUCCUGGAGCAGCCUCAGCACCCAAAGCCACGGCCACCAGCCUGCGCACGCUGUCCUGCCACCCUCCUGCCUGCAGAAACAAGGCUUUUUUGGUUAUAGAACUGCCCAUCCGGGAUCCAACCAAACACCUGACCCCCCCGAAAAGGGCCUGAAGGCUGAUGCAGAUUCGUCCCCUGUGGAUGCCCCACGGAGGGGCUGGGAAGCCAAGCUCUGGCCAUUGUGGCAGGGCUCGGUGAGGACACUGUGCUGCCAUCACCUGAGAGUCUUCUCCUGCCUGGGGUCCCAUGAAAACCCCCGUCCCACCAGCAGCCGGGGGGGCCGAGUUGCUCUCAGAGCAACUGGCUGGGGGUGCCAGCAAUGGCCAGAAAAUCUGGGGAAUCUGUGCCAAGGGGAG